rnacentral:rRNA from 1 species
GUGGGGAAUAUUGGGCAAUGGGCGAAAGCCUGACCCAGCGACGCCGCGUGAGGGAAGAAGGUCUUCGGAUUGUAAACCUUUGUAGACAGGGACGAAGAAAUGACGGUACCUGUAAAGUAAGCCACGGCUAACUACGUGCCAGCAGCCGCGGUAAUACGUAGGUGGCAAGCGUUAUCCGGAUUUAUUGGGUGUAAAGGGUGAGUAGGCGGGCUGACAAGUCAGAUGUGAAAUGUUCAGGCUUAACCUGAGAACUGCAUUUGAAACUGCCAGUCUUGAGAGUCGGAGGGGUAAUCGGAAUUCCCGGUGUAGCGGUGAAAUGCGUAGAGAUCGGGAGGAACACCAGUGGCGAAGGCGGAUUACUGGACGACAACUGACGCUGAAACACGAAAGCGUGGGGAGCAAACAGGAUUAGAAACCCUUGUAGUCC